rnacentral:pre_miRNA from 1 species
CUACUACUCCCUCCGUCCGAAAAUACUUGUCAUUGAAAUGGAUGUAUCUAGAUGUAUUUUAGUUCUAGACACAUCCAUUUUGAUGACAAGUAAUUCUGGAUGAAGGGAGUAUUAU